rnacentral:lncRNA from 1 species
GUGGCUUCUGGAGUCUUCUAGAUGAUGUAAAAUUAUGCGGUGCGUUGAUAUCUCUAUGUAAUCCUGACAUGUGGGCCUUUCUUCCUUAUUUCCUGAUAACCCCCUGCAGAAACAGAUAAACAACAAAACUCGUGGAAUUCUGUCAGAUCAAACCCUAAUUCUAGGUGAUGGUUGCAUAUUGGUCCUUUCUCAUGUUUAUUUGAUAAUUAAAAUUGAUACUUAAGAACCGUCAACAAAUACCCCCAUACUUAGGCUUUUACUCGUCCUCGAGAAAAGGAUGGUUAAGAAAAAAUCUGGGGUAAACAUUUAAAACAUUCUCCUUAUAAUUGCAGGGUGUUAAAAUUCCACUGUGUACCAUAGUCAGGGAUGUGUAUGGUUAAGUGUAAAGAUUCUUUCUUUUCAAUCCUGUCACUUGGAGUUUUUGUUAUAUUUUUGAAAGAAAGUUAGCAUACCUUUUUAUCCUCAUAGGUUCUCUCAGAUCACUCAUUAUCUUUUAUAUAUAUCUCUCACUGAGGCUGUUUUAUUUUGCAAAAAUUCUCAAGCAUACUUACUUUGCAUUUAUUGCCUCAUCAAAACGGGAUCCGAGGAGGGAAAUGUCAUACUCUUAGAUCAAAGACUUUAGAAAUUAAAACUUUGUCAACUCUUGCUGGCAUAUUGCUUAUUAGAGGGACCAUGGGCUAUCAUUUUUUUCUCUUUUUUUUAAGUGGAUACCGAGGUACCCCUAAUUCUACUGCCGGACACUUGUCCAUUUUUUUCUGCGAGGUUGUCGAGCACUUGCUCCUUUUUAUUUCCUCGAAAUAUCUUCUAUUUUUGCAUAGCCCAUGCCUCUAAUGCAAUAAUACUUCGGAAGAGUGAAUCUUACUGAAAUAGUGUCUUGAUCUUGGGAGAAUGAUAAAUCUCUCAACAAGGGUCUAACUCAUUUUGAACAAACUCAAUACAGAGCAGAUAGCUUUUAUAAUCAUAAUUAAUAUUUCAAUUUUAUCAGGCAUAUAAAACACUGAGGAUGGUAGCUAGAAAUUUGAAUAUUUUGAAAUAAGUUCUCCAAGCAACAAUGAUAUCAAGAAUAAGAAACUCAUACUCUACCAUCACAUAUUCCAUAUUGAUUUAAGUAACACAGGGUUUUAAAAUGAUUUUAUACUAAUUGCAAGUUUUCAAGAAAUAUCACAGAUUGAGAUUAAUCAUGAUUAGAAAUAUUUAAUCUUUUUAUUUUAUCAUGUCGGAAACAGUAAUCUGCAUAAUCCAGAAUAAAUGUAUGUAUAAAGUAAAGUGUGCAGAGUGUGUACCUGAGUGGUGGAGUGGUGUAGUCGGAGUGUGGUUGGCAUGUCGAGGGAUCUCCCCCAUACUUGUUUUCUGCUUUCUUGCACAAAAGUAAAGUAGAGACACACAAGACAUAAUAAUAAUAGUAAUACUCUUUAUUGAUCUUGAGGCAUUUAUUACAAAAAGACUGAUAGCAAACUGAUAACAAACUGAUAAUAACAAACUGAUAAUAGCAAACUUAAACCGAAUUUAAAGAUAGAUAACUAAGAUGCAUUGCCUCAAGGUCUAAUCUAGAUAACUUAGCGGCGCUCUAAUUCUUUAAUCUUCUUGUUGGC